rnacentral:rRNA from 1 species
UACGUAGGGGGCAAGCGUUGUCCGGAAUUAUUGGGCGUAAAGAGCGCGUAGGCGGUCCGAUAAGUCGGCUGUGAAAGUCAGGGGCUCAACCCUUGAAAGCCGGCCGAUACUGUCGGACUAGAGUCCGGAAGAGGCAAGUGGAAUUCCCGGUGUAGCGGUGAAAUGCGCAGAUAUCGGGAGGAACACCAGUGGCGAAGGCAGCUUGCUGGGACGGUACUGACGCUGAGGCGCGAAAGCGUGGGGAGCAAACAGG